rnacentral:lncRNA from 1 species
CGCGCUUCGCCGUGGCCGGACGGCUGCACCCAGCAGGCGCGCGCGCUGUUUUACAUUUGUACGAGUGCAUGGGCAGCAUGGCUACGCUGAUGGCAAGUUGGCAACAAACCCAACACUGGUUCCAUUUCAUCAACGUUGUCUUACAAAAAGCUUUAAGAAAAGCAAGCUUAGAACACAAAUUAAAGUCCAUAGCUCACGUACCCGUGUAAGAAACUAAGAACUAAUGCAGGUACGAUGGUAAGUAGUAGGAAGGUUGCAAAGAUGAAGAGUAUUAGAAGAUUGGAAUUUGGAAGAUGGAGCUCAUACUGAUUGAAGCCACGCAGCUGGCUCCUCCUUGUCGUUGAUCCGAUUACACACAUAAACGUUUGCAGAACUAAUGCUAGGAGCACUAAGUUUGACAAGGUGUAAAGCUAUACACCCCAUUUGAGAUUUACAGAUUGUAUCCUGAGGUUCUGUCUUCAAAUACGUACUGAUAUUUUUUUUCUCUCCUCCAUUUAUCUCCA